rnacentral:tRNA from 1 species
GUCCCGAUAGGGUAGUGGAUAUCCUGAAAGCCUGCGGAGCUUUCGACCCGGGUUCAAGUCCCGGUCGGGGCG